UACGGGGGGAGCAAGCGUUGUUCAGAUUUACUGGGCGUAAAGGGCGCGUAGGCGGCCACCGCAAGUCAGUUGUGAAAUCUCUGGGCUUAACCCAGAAAGGUCAACUGAUACUGCGGGGCUAGAGUGCAGAAGGGGCAAGCUGGAAUUCCUGGUGUAGCGGUGGAAAUGACGCAGAUAUCAGGAGGAACACCGGUGGCGAAGGCGGGUCUCUGGGCCGUAACUGACGCUGAGGAGCGAAAGCAUGGGGGAGCGAACAGG
rnacentral:rRNA from 1 species